UUAAUAGAAGCCAAAAUAGAGGCAACUCACUGUUAAUGAGUUUACUGACAAAUAAUCCUAUUAAA
rnacentral:tRNA from 1 species